rnacentral:lncRNA from 1 species
UCUAUAUUUGCUUUUGGAUUCCGCAUGUGUUCUCGGAUCAUGCAGAAGAGCCGGUGUCGAGACGCCGGGGAGGCGCGCUUGGACCUCAGCCCUAUCCCUGCAACUCAGGUCGUUCCACCUUGGGAGCGUGUAGGUUUCGGGAGUCUUAUGACUGACAGCCACGCUUCUCCGAUUCCCUGAGAACUACACACGGUCUUUCUCUUUGGGGGGUGGGUACUGGGGAUCGAACUUGGGACCUUUCACUUGUGAGGCAGGCACUGUGCCACUGAGCUGCAUCCCUGGCCCCGCCUUUUUAUUUUUUUAAAUUACAUUUUGAGACAGGUUCUCACUAAAUUGCCCAGCUGGGCUUGGAUUUGGGAUUAUCUUGCCUCGUCCUCCUGGUGUGCACUCUCCCAUGCCUGUCCUGGGCUGAAAGUUUUUUAUUUCACUAAUUUCAGUUCUAGGCAACUGGUUCCUUGUGAAGUAUGCAGCUUGCUACAGCUGAAAAUCAUUCCCACGUUAGGCCACACGGACAUCUGUACUAACUGGAGCAACAGACAGCCCUCCUCGAGCCCUGCUCUCUGCUUGGCGGCAGAGCUCUCAGGGACCUCAGCAAGCUGCAGCCGGCCGCGGUGAGGCCUCCGCAGGCUUCUGAGAGCAGUGCUGAAGGUUAGGAGAAAACUCUAUAGUACCCCACAGAAGAGAGGGGCGCAGAACAGUGUGCACGCAGAGCUUUGGAGAUGAAUGUUGCAGUCGCUACACAAGGAACCCAUGACAACUGCAAACAUGCAGUGAGUAGCUGAAGAAAGAAGCCAUAGCUGGCUACUCUUCAUAUCUGCUAUUUCUGUAUUCCUUAGAGUUUUCUUUUUAUUUUGGCUUGUUUUUUUUGGCUACUGGAGAUCGAACUCUGGACCUUGCGCUUGCGAGGCAGGCAGCAGCAUCACUGAGCUAAAUCCCCAGCCCUAUUAUUUUGGCUUUUUGAGACAGGGUUUCAUGAUGUAGUCCAGCCUGGCUUUGAACUCCAGGCAAUCCUCCUAAGUGCUGGGAUAACAGGGCUGUGCCACCACACCGGGCCUUUCUUUACAACUUCCUAGCAAUUCUUUGUUACUCCAAUCCCUUGUAUAGUUAAUUAUCCUUUUUAUAAUACUUCCUCGGAUUAAAUAACUAUUUUCUGUCUCCAGACUGAACCCUGACUAGUACACAGACUUAGUAUCAAUAAAUGGUAG